rnacentral:rRNA from 1 species
GAUGAACGCUAGCGGCAGGCCUAAUACAUGCAAGUCGGACGGGAUUCAGGAGCUUGCUUCUGAUGAGAGUGGCGCACGGGUGCGUAACACGUAUGUAACCUACCUUUAUCAGGGGGAUAGCCUCUCGAAAGAGAGAUUAAGCCCGCAUAAAAUCACAGCACAGCAUUGUGUAAUGAUCAAAUAUUUAUAGGAUAAAGAUGGGCAUGCGGAACAUUAGCUAGAUGGCGGGGUAACGGCCCACCAUGGCGACGAUGUUUAGGGGAUCUGAGAGGAUGGCCCCCCACACUGGUACUGAGACACGGACCAGACUCCUACGGGAGGCAGCAGUAAGGAAUAUUGGUCAAUGGGCGGAAGCCUGAACCAGCCAUGCCGCGUGCAGGAAGACGGCCCUACGGGUUGUAAACUGCUUUUAUACGGGAAUAAACCCAGAUACGUGUAUCUGGCUGAAUGUAGUGUAAGAAUAAGGAUCGGCUAACUCCGUG